AAUUUUAUCAAAACUACUAAAAAUUCUAUUUUUAGCUAAACUAAACAGGGGCUAAAUAUCUUGCACAUAAUUUUAUGAUAGGACCAUGAAUUCAAAUACUAUGUGCUUCAAGUUUUCUUAGAGAAAGACUGAUCUUUCAUUCCCCUCCUUGCCAUUUUGUGCUCUAGUAUGAAGGCUGUCCAACUGAAAUAACUAUGUGUGUUUAGUUGCUCUAAAAUUAUUGGUCACAUAGUCAGCCCAUUAUUCUACACCCUCAUUGGAUAGCAAAAUAAAAGAAAAUGGUCUUAUAGAUUUGUCUUAUCAUUUGUUAUACAUAUGUAGAAUCUUAUAAGAAAAAAGGUGUUGACAUCAGGUCUGUAUCUGGGUAUACCUCUGGAUAGAUGACAACAGUGCUGUGGAAUUUCUUGGCAAGAUAUUUAUGGCAGUGGUAUCAUUUAUAGCUGCAUUAGGUUUCUUGCUGUAUGGCGGAAGGUUAUUUUUCAUGCUUAGACGCUUUCCCAUUGAGUCGAAAGGAAGGAGAAAGAAGCUUCACGAGGUGGGUGCCUUACUAAUUAUAUUUUAAU